rnacentral:misc_RNA from 1 species
AACAUCGCGCACCUGCGGGAACCUGCGGAAGGAUCAUUAUCGAGUUGCAAAACUCCAACCCUUUGUGAACAUACCUCAGUCGUUGCUUCGGCGGUGGACGGCCUGUUUUUCGGAACGGCCGGAAGCCGCCGGAGGUUCCAAACUCGUAUUUUUUAGUGUAUCUCUGAGCCUGAAAACAAAUAAUCAAAACUUUCAGCAAUGGAUCU